GGAAACUCUUCCUGGCCGGUGCCAGGCCUGGUCUUCAAAACCAGUGGGCGCCGCUGAGCGCGCGCCGGUGGGUUCGACCCCCACGAGUUUCCGCCA
rnacentral:tRNA from 1 species